rnacentral:rRNA from 1 species
UACAGAGGGUGCGAGCGUUAAUCGGAUUUACUGGGCGUAAAGCGUGCGUAGGUGGUGAGUUAAGUCUGAUGUGAAAUCCCCGGGCUCAACCUGGGAAUGGCAUUGGAUACUGGCUCGCUAGAGUGCGGUAGAGGGUGGUGGAAUUCCCGGUGUAGCAGUGAAAUGCGUAGAGAUCGGGAGGAACAUCUGUGGCGAAGGCGGCCACCUGGACCAACACUGACACUGAGGCACGAAAGCGUGGGGAGCAAACAGG